UACGUAGGGGGCAAGCGUUGUCCGGAUUUAUUGGGCGUAAAGAGCGUGUAGGCGGUUAGGUAGGUCCGUUGUGAAAACUCGAGGCUCAACCUCGAGACGCCGAUGGAAACCAUCUGACUAGAGUCUGGAAGAGGAGAGUGGAAUUCCUGGUGUAGCGGUGAAAUGCGCAGAUAUCAGGAAGAACACCCGUGGCUAAGGCGGCUCUCUAGUACAUGACUGACGCUGAGACGCGAAAGCGUGGGGAGCGAACAGG
rnacentral:rRNA from 1 species